AAAAUCCAUAGUAUACCUAUACUACAAAACACCAAUCAGAAAAAGACCAGUCUACAGGUAUUUGUGACCGUUUGUGUGUACCGAGUGACUUUUUUCAACACAGGCUUUGUUGAGGUCUGUGUACCAUGGCAUAAGCUAUGCCUUGAUCAUAGAGGGGGAUGAGUCCUCCUCUGCUUUGGGACAGGAAGAACUGGGUCUUACUACAAGAAUUCCAACUACAAUGAAAAGCAAAUUAACCGAUACUUGAUUCUCUUUCUAGACAGAAGAAAGGUUUAAAAUAAGGGUCCAUUUCACUGAGUAACUUAUGGAUAGAUGACUUUGUGGACAUAUUCAGGACAGAGAGCAGUUCUGCUUGCAAGUCCAUUCACCUGUUUUGUCCCAAGGAACAUCUUGUUGUCACUUUUCGUUUCAUGGACUAGAAAGAGCAGUGGUACUGUUUUCUCUAAAGAGCCAUGAAUGAUGCCAAGAAGGGAAACAGGAAACCUCUUCCAUUGAAGAUAUUCAUUGAGGACAUCAUAAGCUGUGCUAAUAUAUGUGAAUAUAAAACCAAAAAUGACAUUCUGUGUUCAUGACUAGGAGAGAGACAAUUUGUAAAAUAAUGAAAUAUGGAGAUAUAAGAAUCUGACCACCAUGGACUAAAGCUCGACCUCAACAACAACAGAAACAACAAAAAGCCAACACACACAUGGAAACUAAACAACUUACUACUCAAUGACAGCUGGGUUAAGGAAGAAAUAAAGAAAGAAAUUAAAGACUUCCUAGAAUUCAAUGAAAAGGAAGGCACAACAUACCCAAAUUUAUGGGACACACUGAAAGCAG